ACCAAGGCGACGAUACAUAGGGGGACUGAGAGGUUAACCCCCCCACAUUGGUACUGAGACACGGACCAAACUCCUACGGGAGGCAGCAG
rnacentral:rRNA from 1 species